rnacentral:misc_RNA from 1 species
GUCGCAAGGUCGUUCAUUGAGACUGAUGCAGCUUUUGCAGAGACUUGCUCCCUUGAGUCUUCCCUUUCUUCUGGCACAACUGCACUCACCGCAAUGAUAUUUGGGAGGUCUUUGCUUGUGGCAAAUGCUGGUGACUGCCGGGCUGUAUUGUCACGGCGUGGAACAGCUAUAGAAAUGUCAGAGGACCAUAGGCCUUGCUGUGUUAAUGAAAGGACCCGGAUUGAGUACCUGGGGGGAUAUGUUGAAGAUGGUUAUCUGAAUGGCCAGUUAGGUGUUAGUCGGGCAUUAGGUGACUGGCACCUCGAAGGGAUGAAGGUGAAGGGCGAUAGAGGUGGUCCCUUGAGUGCUGAACCAGAACUUAAAUUGGUUACACUAACCAAGGAUGACGAGUUUUUGAUCAUCGGAAGUGAUGGAAUAUGGGAUGUGUUUUCCAGCGAAAAUUCAGUUUCCUUUGCUCGGAGAAGACUUCGAGAGCACAAUGAUGUGAAAUUGUGUUGUAAAGAAAUAGUAGAGGAAGCAACAAAACGCGGGGCGACAGACAAUUUGACAGUUGUUGUGAUAAGCUUUCACUUGGAGCCACCACCAAAAGUGGCAGUAGAAAGGGGAAGAGUUAUAAGGAGCAUUUCUGCUGAGGGACUUCAGAGCCUCAAAUGUCUAUUACAAGGAUAAUACUCCAAUACUGAGUUCCAAAAAGAUUUUUCUUCCUUCCCUGUACAAUAAACUAGUCAAUAAUGGUAAAUAGCUACACUAGCUUU